CCUCAGGCUCUGGACUAUAAGGGGUAAUCACAGAUAAAUACGGUCUAGGCACGUCGCCUACAGAAUAUCUACCACUUACCCAUUAGCCAAAUGAGUAAGCGCUAUACGAUCCUAUGCAUAAACAUAAUUCUAAUCUAACUAUGCCAAGCAUAUAAUCAAAAUAGACUAAUAACAAUAUAAUUGAGACCAUAAGAAAAUAGAAUAAAGUCAAUUCUGAUAUAAUCAAAUAGAUCAAAGUUAUAUUUAUAGUAGCAAGAACUAAUAUAAAUAUCACAAAGAAGAAUAAAAGUA
rnacentral:lncRNA from 1 species